UAGGGAAUCUUCCGCAAUGGGCGAAAGCUUGACGGAGCAACGCCGCGUGAGUGAUGAAGGUCUUCGGAUCGUAAAACUCUGUUAUUAGGGAAGAACAAAUGUGUAAGUAACUAUGCACGUCUUGACGGUACCUAAUCAGAAAGCCACGGCUAACUACGUGCCAGCAGCCGCGGUAAUACGUAGGUCCCGAGCGUUGUCCGGAUUUAUUGGGCGUAAAGCGAGCGCAGGCGGUUAGAAAAGUCUGAAGUGAAAGGCAGUGGCUCAACCAUUGUAGGCUUUGGAAACUGUUUAACUUGAGUGCAGAAGGGGAGAGUGGAAUUCCAUGUGUAGCGGUGAAAUGCGUAGAUAUAUGGAGGAACACCGGUGGCGAAAGCGGCUCUCUGGUCUGUAACUGACGCUGAGGCUCGAAAGCGUGGGGAGCGAACAGG
rnacentral:rRNA from 1 species